rnacentral:lncRNA from 1 species
UUUUUUUUUUUUUUUGGCUUUUUAGGGCCACACCGUGGCCUAUGGAGGUUCCUAGGCUAGGGGUUGAAUCAGAUCUACAGCCACUGGCCUACACCACAGCCACAGCCACAUGAGAACCGAGAUAUGUCUGUGACCUACCCCACAGCUCACAGCAAUGCCUGAUCCUUAACCCACUGAGCGAGGCCAGGGAUCGAACCUGCAUCCUCAUGGAUUGCAGUUGGGUUCUUAACCCACUGAGCCACAACAGGAGCUCCAACAAUUGGUGUAUCUUAAUCAUAGUCAAAAAUCUCCAUUUUUGCUAUAAAGUUUAAAUUUUUUUUUUCUGACCAGCAGAUCUUGUAGCCAAGAAAUAUUUUAAAAUGUGUCACACAAGUUAGGCUGUGGUCUUUACAUUAUGUCCUAAAGAAUUCUUUACAUUUUUACCAUGAAAGCAUAUGUCUGUCUAUGCAAAGAUGGCUCUGGGUUGGAAUCAGGCAGUGAGUCCUUCUUAAGACCUAAGAUUGCAGGGUCAACCCGAUGGCAAUCAUUCACUCUGUUCUCACAGCAACGACCAUCUCCUGCGAGAGGGGGGACCUGACUCAGUUCUCAUGUUCAGAACAGUUCUGAAGAGCUGUCACUCCCUCGCCUGUUCUUGAGAUGAGGUCGUUGAGGCCUGAGAGGGUUCGUCUAUGCAGCCAUUUCACUAGCAGUCAGUGCUGCGGCCGGUGUAGACUGAGAGGUGUAGGGCGUGGCCGUCCACCCGCACUGGUUCCUCGGCGUGGCCCCUUCUGGAAAGUCUUCCCUCCUUUUCAUUUGCUGAUGUAGAGAGGAAGGCAGCUGCUUUCCUGGGACUUUAUCCCCCUGCCUCUGCGGUAGUGACCUGGGAACCCCAGCCUGAAACACUGUAUCCCAGCCACUGACACAGCGCUGCCACAUUAAUAUAUCGACUUGGGGUCAUCCUCACUCAUGAAUAUUAACCGGGGGAUUCUUUUUUUUCUUUCUGUCUUUUUACAGCCGCACCUACGGCCUAUGGAAGUUCCUGGGCUCGGGUCGAAUCAGAGCUGCAGCCACAGCGACACCAGAUCUGAGCCACAUCCGCAACCUGCGCCACAGCUCGCUGCCACGCUGGAUCCUUAGCUCAUGAGCGAGGCCAAGGAUCCACGCUGCAUCCUCAUGGAGACUCUGUUGGACUCCUAACUUGUUGAGCCACAGUGGGAACUCCCUAACCGGGAGAUUCUUGCUGACUGCAUUCUGUGUCGGCCUUUGCUCAUAAACGCCCUUACUCCAGGUUGAACCCAGGUGCCCGACAGUCUGGGUCCCAACUUGUUAAUUUCUCGAUUCAGCUACAAAGAGGGUCAAAGGCAGAAACUCUCCGCUCUGUGAUGUUGCCUUAAAGGGUCAGUUUAGGGCAGCAGUGGUUGCACCGUUCCUUGUCAAAAGUAUACCUGUUCCUCUACGUAGGCACGGAAGCAGCGACAACGGGGACACAGCAGGAGAACCCUGGUGUGAAGCCCGAAAAAGUCUUAGCUAUGAAAGUGCAGGUCCAAGAGGCAUACUUGAUGGAACAUUAAAAAAAUAAUAAUCGAGAGCAAAUAAGGUCAUCAAGUUCAUUCAUGCUUCCGAGCCACACUCAUCAGGUUGUUGAGGGUGAAGAGACGUCACCCCAAAAGAAAAUAUUUGCGAUUCUCAAAGAAUUUAAGCAAACAAUUAGUGAGGCCUGUACGAAUCCCGUGUAGAGAUUUCCAGGUGUCUCUAGGAUUUGCGUGUCUCCGCAUCUGAUGCCAUCAGCGGUUUGUGUAACCCUAGCUGAUUCCAACAGGGUGAUGUUUUAGCCUGUGGAUGGGGUUUCUCUGUGACCCUUGCCUGGCGCUGUUCUCACAGGUCCGGGAACGAUGAAUCACAGAGGGAUCUGGCUCAAAGUCUUGGCCCUUACAUAAAGUAUGAUGAUUGAAUACAAGAAUGCAGUGAGGACACUUUUAAGCUGAGUAUUCAUCGAGGCAGAGAAUGCCAGCCGAUCUCUCACUGCGAGUACACAAAACGCUUGUCUGGUGCGAGCGUUCGUAUAACUAAGGAAUCACACUCAGUGGGUGUGAGCCUUUGAAAACGGGCUUUCAAUACAAGGUGACAGUGCACCCUCCCAACACUCCAGGGGACACGAGACACGAGAGAUGUGUUUGGUUGUCAGCCUGGGAGGUGGGAGCUACUGGUAUCCAGUCAGUAGAAAUCGGGGAUGCACGAAGCAAAGGACCUUACCAGGCACCGGACAGCAUCCCGUCCCAAGGAAGACUCAUCCGGCCUGGGGCGGGGGUGGUGUCAACAAACCCUGUUUUAAAAGCUAAGGCAGCACAGAUCUGGAAGUCAAACUUAGGGUAUGAGGGGAAACACGGGGGAAAGGAGAGACCGGGCUUUAGGAUUGACCCAUACCGGCUGCUCUACACGGUCUAAGCAAGUACCCAGGACCUACUGCCGAGCCCAGGGAACUCGGCUCAACAGUCUGGGAAAAGAACCUGAGAAAGAGUGGAUGUGUGUCUGUGUACGGCUGCUUCACUUUGCUGCACACCCGAAACGAACCCAACUAUUGUAAAUCAGCUCUACGCCCAUAAUAUGUAAUAACUAAAUAAAUACAUGCAAGCUAAAUCAGAUCCUGCCAUGUGCCGCUCGUGUCUCUUCGGGAGUUUCUUAUUCUGUUCAGGUCGAGAUCGAAGGCUUCCUGAGGCAGAGGGGCCCUCCAGGAUCCCACCCCCUGCUCGCCUUGGUCUGCCGCUCCCACUGCCCCACCGCCACCUGCCUCGCCAGCCACAACUCCACACCCCUCCCCUCGGCUUCUCACUGGAGCCGAGAAAACGCAGAUGCUCUGCUCCAAGCACACAGAGCCGACAGGCCGUGCAGACCACCUUCCAGAGACAGCAGCCCCUUCCCCACCCCCAGGUGAGUUUCUGUCCCCAUCACCUGUCUUGGGUUUCCACACGGCCCUUCUCACCACGUGACUUUUUACGUUUCAAUUAUUUAUUUUCCGUCUCCUCCCCCUAGAAAACUGACACCAGUCACAUGCGAUGCUGGUGCCUCCCGCAGUCCCUGCACAGAGCAGGUGCUCAGUCCAUAAUCGGUGACAGAAAGAGAAAGAAGAAGGAAUAAAGCAGUCGUACAGCGACCGUGCCCUGAGCAUUAAUUUUCGAAAGCCAUCCUUUCGCUGCAACUAUGAAAUAGUUGACAAGUUUACUAGCUAAAAAAAUUCACGUGCGUUAUUACAGAGAAAUCACGCCCCCCAGGAAAUCACUUUUGUCCAUUCACAUGAGAUCAUUGGAAAAGGUAACAGGUUGUCUGCUGUUAACACGCCUUGGUUCUAAUCUCUACUUACUCCCAAGUUCCGAGGUAAAGGGGAAUUUCAGAGUGUGGGAGGAGAACGUUUUCUACCUCUUCAAAGAGCCACAGGGCUGCUUUCUUUUCUCCCUAAGAGUGUUCACUUGCAGAACAAGAUGGCCGAAGUACGGAAGCAAGCAAGUGCCCACGGGUGGCUGGAUGGAUAACCAAGAGGUGAUACACGCACACACGAUGCAAUACGGCUCAGCCGGAAGAAGAAUGCAGUCUUGCCAUUCGUGACAACAUGAAUGGACCUAGGAGGUAUUGAGUGAAAUAAGCCAAAGACAAACACUCUAUGAUCUCAUUUAUGUGUGGAAUUUAAACCCCCCCCCCCAAACGAACACACACAACAACACAGAAACNAAGUCACAGAUCCAGGGAAGAGACAAGCGGGUGCCGGGGGAAGAUGGGGGUGAGAGAAGGAGGUGAGAGAGAUUGAAAGGUUCAAACUUCCAGUUACAAAACCAGUGAGACUUGGGGAUGAGAUGCACAGUGAGGGGAUAUGGUCAACCAGAGCGUCACAGCCUUUUUCUGGGGGGGGUAGCACCCACAGCAUAUGGAAGUCCCCAGGCCAGGGGCUGAAUCCGAGCCGCAGCUGCAGCAACAUCAGAUGCUUUAACCCACUGAGCCAGGUUGGGGAUCAAAUCCAUGCCUCCGUAGCCACCUGAGCCUCUGUCUUUGGAUUCUUAACCCACUGUGCCAUGGCGGGAACUCCAAUCACAUCCCAUCCUUUAAAAACGAACAAAACAGAAGCCUGCUUUGUCUGUUAAAGUCUUUGACACAUAAAAUGCAGACAUGUGCAGAAGGGACAGCCAGAGGCGUGCUAACAGGUGCCUCUUCUCAGGCUUCUGGGUGGUGACGUGAGUCAGAAGGUUAUCAAUGCAAAAGGUAAUGGCUCCCAGCACCUUCAGUGCCAGCGUGAAGGCAGCAGGGGAUCAGGGGUCGAAAGGGAAGCCCUGCAAAUGCAGGAGAGGCAGGGGUUUCGGUGGCCAGGGGACCCCAAAGUGCGGUGGAGAGGGAGAGGAAAAGGAAGCAGAAAUGCAGAGCAGCAGGUUCCGGGAUGCUGAAGUGCCUGGACCUCCUGCAGCAUCCGGAGGGGAGGUACCUGAGUGAGCGUGUAACGUGAAGGAGGCUGCACCUGUAAAGGGUUAUCAUCCAGCACAAAACGUGUCCAGCUGACUAGCUUCGAAGAGAGCUUAGAAAUGGAAGAGGGGCGAGAGUUUAGACUCAGGCAGCAGCAGAAGGAAGGGAAGCGGGGGGCGAACUGAGGUACAGACCCUUUGAGCCUGGGGACUGGGAGGGAAUCAGGACCAGCAAGGUGCCUGGUGAUGGGUGUGAGUUUGGGGCUGCAAAUGCGGACUCUGAAGUGACAGCCACCCAUGCAGGGGCUAAACCAAGCGCCAAUUAUUCGAACAAGAGCAUUUAUUAGGACUGAAAAGAAAAUGUCUAAGGGAGACACAAAAAUUGCUCCAGAGGGAGGAUUUUCUCCAGGAAAAGCAAGGUUCCUACAAGUAUGGAGACAGGACACAGUGCAGGUGACAGUGGAUACAAACAGGCAGAUGUAGGCUUGGGGGAGGGGCCAGGGGCUGGGAUGCGGGGGCUCUUGGCAGAGGGGAAGGGCUUCCAGAAGCAGGGCGAGGCUGACAGUACCAAAUACCACAGAAAGAUCAAGGCGGAGGAGGAAGGCAGGAGCGAUGGAGUAAUGCUUAAAAACAUCGAUUCUCUCUUAGUUACCUUCACUUGAGAUGGUUUUGGGGUGUAUUUUGGAAACAGAAGCGACCAGGAUCCAGGUUUUCAGUAAUGCUGGAGAAAAACAAACUAUAGCCGUUUGACUGAUUUAAUGCUAAGCAUGCUAUGCAAGGCAUAAAAAAUGUGAAAAUAUAUUUUAAACUCAUUACUCAUGCUGGCUGUAAUUCAUUCUGCAACCCUAUAGGAAAAUUCCUCUCUAGCCAGGCUACUGCAGGGAGGGAUAUGCUUGUGUUUUCCUCUUUGGCGUUAAGGAAAAACACAAAGGCUGAGAGAAGAGCUGGCACAGUCCUGGCACUUUCCAGGCUCUGGUUUCUAAAAUGUAGAAGUCGCAGCUUGACUCUGGAGACAGACACAUGUGGCUACUGUGUCACUACACGCAGGCAGGAUGCUCAGACCCCAAAUCAGCAUCUCCUUUGUGUUAAACCAAAGGAGCAAUGCCUUUUGUCUGGCCACAUCUGGGGCACACGGAAGUUCCCCAGCCAGGGAUGGAUCCUGAACCACGGCAGUGACCUGAGCCACAGCAGUGUCAGCACUGCAUCCUUAACCCACUGAGCCACCAGGAGACUCCAGAACAAUGCCUUUUUAAAAUUUUAUUUCUUUUACUAAAGCAUAUUUGAUGUACAAUGUUGUGACAAUUUCUGCUGCAUGUGGAGCUUCCUGGGCUAGGGGUCAAAUCGGAGCUGCAGCUGAGACCUAUGCCACAGCUUGUGGCAACGCUGGAUCCUUAGCCCACUGAGCAAGGCCAGGGAUUGAACCCACAUCCUCACAGACACUAUGUCGGGUUUUUAACCUGCUGAGCCACAACGGAUACUCCCAACAAUGCCUUUUAAAUUUCUGACUUCU